rnacentral:lncRNA from 1 species
UCGACGAUGGAGUUCAAUAUAUCGUUGUCUUCAUCCAGCAGAUGUGGAGGAGGCGGCUCAGCAUCCAUAUCAAAAUCCUGCCAUUUGAUGUCGCAUUUCGCGUGGUCGACGCCGGCCAUUGCCAGUGCUUCGAUCGACAUAUGGCUUCUUUGAUUUCUCUGGACCUGCGAAGGAUUUCUCUUUUCUUGGUGAUGUUGAGCAAGAGACAGAAUUGCCAAUGUGUAGAGAG